rnacentral:rRNA from 1 species
UGAACAUCGACAUUUCGAACGCACAUUGCGGUCCACGGAUACAAUUCCCGGACCACGCCUGGCUGAGGGUCGUU